GAUCAUGGCUCAGGAUGAACGCUGGCGGCGUGCUUAACACAUGCAAGUCGAACGGGGUACCCUUGACGGAGUUUUCGGACAACUGAUAGGAAUACCUAGUGGCGGACGGGUGAGUGACGCGUGAGUAACCUGCCUUGGAGUGGGGAAUAACAGCUGGAAACAGUUGCUAAUACCGCAUGAUGCAGUCGGAUCGCAUGGUCUGACUGCCAAAGAUUUAUCG
rnacentral:rRNA from 1 species